rnacentral:pre_miRNA from 1 species
UCGUAGGGCAUCUCUCGCUUGGCAGGCAAUGAUAUGAAGUGAAGCUAAAUUUUAGCAUUAGUUUGAUCCCAAUGGCUUGCCAAAGGAGAGCUGCCCUGUGACU